rnacentral:rRNA from 1 species
AUACGGAGGAUCCGAGCGUUAUCCGGAUUUACUGGGUUUAAAGGGUGCGUAGGCGGGCGCCUAAGUCAGCGGUGAAAUGCAGCGGCUCAACCGUUGAACUGCCGUUGAAACUGGGCGCCUUGGAUGCGGUCGAGGCCGGCGGAAUGCGUGGUGUAGCGGUGAAAUGCUUAGAUAUCACGCAGAACGCCAAUUGCGAAGGCAGCUGGCUAAGCUAUAACUGACGCUCAUGCACGAAAGCGUGGGGAUC